rnacentral:sRNA from 1 species
CUUUUGCUGCUGCUGCAGCAGUUGCUGCAGCAGCAGUUGCUGCUGCUGCUGCAGUUGCUGCUGCUGCAGUUGCUGCUGCAGCAGUUGCUGCUGCAGCAGCUGCAGUUGCUGCUGCUGCAGUUGCUGCUGCAGCAGCUGCAGUUGCUGCUGCUGCAGUUGCUGCUGCAGCAGCUGCAGUUGCUGCUGCUGCACUUGCUGCUGCAGCAGCUGCAGUUGCUGCUGCUGCAGUU